CACUCAAGCUGAUCUCAGAAGGACCUUUCUUAGUUCCUUGGACUCACUUGCACCACAGCUGAUCCAACUCUAUAGAGCAAGAAGUGGAGCCCUGGGAGAAGACAUCCAGACAUUCUUGGACAGACUUGACGAAUGGGUAACUCAUUGAAUUUAGACAGCAACAUUAGUUACCUCCUAAUUUUAAAUGUAUGAUAGGUUUUUUCCCUGCUGCCUAUUUUCUCUUUCAGACCUCUAAUAUCCUGGCACACCGGAAAUCUACAACAGUUUGCGGCCUACCAUUGUCGCUAAAAGAAAAAGCAGACAACCUACUGCGAACAUGUCUGGACACAGAUAAGGAGGAAACCUUCACUAAGGGACUCAAAGUUGGUACCCUGACUGUUGUUGAAGAUGAUGUGGCAACAGUAAACUCCAACCCAAACGAAUGAAGGCUAUACAAUGCUUGAAACUGCCAAAAAACUUUCAAGAAGAUUUCAUACAAAGAUGUACACUACAGUCUUCAAAGACAAAGGACAGCUGGCUCUAACAAGGACAGAAAGAGAUGUGGAAGGCCAGAUGUACAACUAAACAAGAGGAUAAGUACAUCAAAGUCACUAGUUUGAGAAAUAGAAGCCUCGCAUGUCCUCAGCUGACAGCUUCAUUGAAUUCUACCCGCUCAUCACCAGUUUCAUGUACAACAGUAAAGAGAAAACUCAGGGGUGCAGGCCUUAUGGGAAGAAUUGCAAAGAAAAAGCCACUUAUGAAACUAUAAAAAAUAAAAUGGUUAGAGUGUGCAAAGAAACAAAGACCUUAACCCCACUGAGCAUUUGUGGGAUCAGCUAGACUGUAAGGUGCGUGAGAAUUGCCUGACAAGACAGCCACAUCUAUGGCAAGUGUUACAGGAAGUGUGUGGUGAAAUGUCACCUGAGUAUCUGGACAAACUGACGGCUAGAAUGCCAAGGAUCUGCAAAGCUGUCAUUGCUGCACGUGGAGGAUUUUUUGAUGGGAAGUCUUUGAAGUAGUUUAAGAAGUUCUGAAAAAAAUAAAAUAAUUACAAUUGUAAUAGUAAUUUUUCAUGUUAUUAAUGUCCUGACUAUACAUUGUGAUCAGUUGAAUGCCACUUUGGUGAAUAAAAGUACCAAUUUAAUUCCAUAAGAGCAAAAUCUGUACAUUAUUCAAAACUUUUGGCUGCCAGUGUAUUUCUUUCUUCUGUUUAAGCCUUGCACUGUUAAUAUCUUGAAGUAUUAUU